rnacentral:rRNA from 1 species
AUGGUAUCAAAUGAGAUUCCUUCUGACAAUGAUUCUGAUUCCGAGGAUGAUAUUUCUCCAGCGUUGUUGCAAAAAGCCUCUGAGAUUACUGUUACAACUGCUGGAGAACAAGAGAACAGUGGUGCAGCUGGCGAAGUUCAAAAAUUAACACAGGAAGAUAUACUGAUAUUCCUUGAAAAUGACAGUAUAGAAGCUGCUCAGAGUGCUAGCCAAGAAGUGCGCAGUCAUCACGUACCCCAUGUGGACAUGGUCUUUGAUACGGAUGAUGCAACUUACAACUUUUACAAUGAGUACGCCUCAAUUGCUAGUUUUUCUGUGAUCAAAGCAUCUCGCUAUUGUGGCAAGAAACAAGGAGGCAGUGCAGCAACUCGGGUAACUUUCAAGUGCAAUCGGUCAGGAAAAGUAAUUGAUGCAGAAGAACAAGAGAAUAGGAAGAAGAAACGACGUGACACAAGGCAACAGAAGACAGGACAAGAGCCCUAUCGCAAUGCAAGGAAUAAAAAAGCAAACACCAUCGCAAUAGCAGGGUGUAAAGCUCAGCUCAUUGUCACCAAGAAGGAUGAGAAGUGGGUGAUAACAACCAUAAACCUAUAG